UACGAGGGGGGGCGAGCGUUGUCCGGAUUUAUUGGGCGUAAAGAGCGUGUAGGCGGCCUGAAAGGUCAGCUGUGAAAACUCGAGGCUCAACCUCGAGACGUCGGUUGAAACCAUCUGGCUAGAGUCCGGAAGAGGAGAGUGGAAUUCCCGGUGUAGCGGUGAAAUGCGCAGAUAUCGGGAAGAACACCCGUGGCGAAGGCGGCUCUCUGGGACGGUACUGACGCUGAGACGCGAAAGCGUGGGGAGCGAACAGG
rnacentral:rRNA from 1 species